rnacentral:rRNA from 1 species
CAGUCGCCGCGGGAACACGAAGGGGGCUAGCGUUGCUCGGAAUCACUGGGCGUAAAGGGUGCGUAGGCGGGUCUUUAAGUCAGGGGUGAAAUCCUGGAGCUCAACUCCAGAACUGCCUUUGAUACUGAAGAUCUUGAGUUCGGGAGAGGUGAGUGGAACUGCGAGUGUAGAGGUGAAAUUCGUAGAUAUUCGCAAGAACACCAGUGGCGAAGGCGGCUCACUGGCCCGAUACUGACGCUGAGGCACGAAAGCGUGGGGAGCAAACAGGAUUAGAUACCCCGGUAGUCCCUGUCUCUUAUAC